GAUGAACGCUGGCGGCGUGCCUAACACAUGCAAGUCGAGCGGCAGCACAGUAAGCUCUCUCCCUUACUGUUGGCGGCGGACGGGCGGGUGACACGUAGAUAACCUACCUCUAUUACUGGGAUGAUUUCGUGGGACAGCUGCUGCUAACAGCUCAUAUUACGUACGGCUGGGUUCAAAAGAGCUUGACAGUUUUCCCGUUUCUUUGAGAUGGUUUCGCGCUGCAGUAGCUAGUUGGUAAGGUAACGGCUUACCAAGGCAACGAUGCAUAGCUGAGCUGAGAGGAUGAUCAGCCACACUGGAACUGAGACACGGUCCAGACUCCUACGGGAGGCAGCAGUGGGGAAUCUUCGACAAUGGGCGAAAGCCUGAUGCAGCAACGCCGCGUGAGUGAAGAAGGUCUUCGGGUUGUAAAGCUCUGUUAUUAGGGAAGAACAGAUGUAGAUGAAACCCUGGAUGUUUUGACGGUACCUAAAGAGAAAGCACCGGCUAACUUCGUG
rnacentral:rRNA from 1 species